rnacentral:rRNA from 2 species
GGGACCCCAGGUCAGGCGGGACUACCCG